CAAAUGCUAAAGAGCUUCCAGCCGCAGCUAGAACGUUUCUUUCGCCGGGCACAGUAAACGGCUUUUAAUAAAGCCACGGCGUUUAUGACUUAAAGAUCCUGUAAAAGCUAGGGCGUGCAAGGGCUGCGAGGCAGAAAUAUUCAUACAUAGUGGAUUAGGCAUUCAUUUUUUAGGUAGGAUGGGGACAAGUAUUUUUCGCGUGCCCCUCGAAUUUCAUCAGAUCAAAGGUUGAAUCAUGUUGCGUCGUGACAACAGGGUGUUUACGAGGUGUGUUACAAGUACACUGGCCGGCCACUACCACCGUGUCUUCUGCAAUACACUCACACACACCUUUCCUAGGACAUUUACAGUUGCAGCCCCGAAUUCAUCAACCUGUGAAGAAGUCUUCUCUUUAAAUAAGAAUAGCGAUGAUAAUAUGCCCCAGUCUAUACCCUGUAGGAAACUUUUGGCGCAGAAUUCAAACAUUAAAAAGAAGAAAAAAAUCAGGCUGGCCAGGUUAGGUGUCGAGGAUAAGAAAAGGGACUCGCAUGAGCAUCCCCAGUCUCCACUUCUCAGCUUUCGCCGCCCCCAGACACUCCCUCCACCCCAUUACAGAACAACAUAGACGCGCGCAAACACACCACUCACACUUCCAAUGAUCGGCUAUGGUAUCAAGUGUUCUAAUCGAGAUGUGACAGUUUAGGCUGGGAACAAAAAUAAUCUGUCAACGUGCCCAUCAGAAGCAGGAUGGAAUAAUGCUUCUAUUGGUUGGGUCUUUCGAGGGCAGAAGAGCUCCUUGGCACUGGAACCCUCCUGGUCUGGUGAGGGAGGAAUGAGGAUACACAGGCGCCAUCCAAAACUUCCUAUGUUCAGAUUGAGGAAAGAGGUUGGGCCAGGCCUUUGGAUUCUCAUUACCUAAGGACGGUUCUGACUGUGAGAGCAAAUCACAGAAGGUGCUCCUGCAGGCUGCUGUGUUCCCAGGAUCAUGACACCUUACCUGCUGGCUUAUGCAUGCUUCUUGUGAAGUGUCCAGUAUCUAAGGGAACAGCCGGAAGCAAAGACUCUAAGAUGAAAGAGCCACAUGAGGGAAGGAGCCUCGACCUACACCAGAGGUUCAUAAAGUGACAACACAGAUUUGAUCCUUUCUCUCCAGAAGGUCUCAGUCCAGGGGAACGUGGGUAGCCGAUUAAGCACUGAUCAGGUGAGUUAAGCUCUAUAAUUCACUUGCUGUGUAAUAUGGGCCAAGUCACCUGACUUGUCUUUAUCUCACUAGCACUGUUGUACUAAAGAGAGAACUCACAUUUAUUCUUCCUGACUCAUAGAAUUGUUAUGCACAUCUAGUAAGUAAAACCUGAUUUGAAAAAAUCAUGAAUAGCUAAUAUAUGCUUAUAUUUUGAAAAGACAGUUAAUGAAAGAGGGUUGAGGUGGGCUAGAGUCAUAGCAGUUUGUAUGCCAUCACACUAAAGGACACAUUUUACUCCUUUCUGGUGGCAGUAGACGGAUGGCCUCCAACAGAUCCUACCUGUGGGCUGGAAUACAACUGGUGGGAGAGCCACUCUUGGGGGAUGGGAGGGCACACUGACAUAGAGAGGUCCAUGGGGCAAGCUGGACCAGUGGGGGAGUUUACUCAGUGUUUGUGAAGGCAGUCCAGCCAGAGCAGGAAUCAGGAAUCGGGAUCGAAGUUUAAGAGGGAAAUAAACAUUUUAGCCAGACGGUGGCUGGUCUGGGGGGUGAGUGGGUAAGGCUGUAAAAGGGAAAACAAAUCACCAGACCUCAAGCCAAGAAGAUGAGGAACAAGCAGUCAGGAUGUAGAAUAUGAGUGAGCUGGGACAAGUAGUUCAGAAAUAAGGUUUCAAAUAGUGAGGGCAGUGAAAGUCCACCUUUCACCGUGGUUCCUUUUCUGUGGUCUAGGUGUAUGGCAGGAUAGCACAGUUUUACACAUAGGAGGCCAUAACACAGGGAUACGGACCUCAAUCCUUAAACUGGACAUCACUGUCUAGGUCUUGGGACUUGGAAGUUCCAAGUGAAAUACACUCGUUCACUUGUUUCCUGCCAUCUGUCUUCCUCCCCAUUUCAAUGCUUCAGCGUAGCAGUGACUCUCGAUCUAUCAGUGGCACCCAGGGAGGCCAUGCAGCAGGCAUGGGGAUGCCACUGGCACCUAUAAUUGGAAAUAAGUCCCUAAAAUACCCCGUUUUCUCUUGGUGGUCCAUCAUAGAGCUGUGAUCCAUGCAUCUCUCUAAAACCCUCUUAAGCCUAUUUAGAUUAUCGUAAUCUAUAACCUUGCAAGGACACAAGUCCCAAAUAGUCAGCUACUUUGUAAAGUAGUCCUUCCAUGUCUUUGAGGUCUUAAACCUGCCUCAUCAAAGCAUGAAUUCUCCUACUAUGUUGAGAUCGGGUAAACCAUUUCGUUUGAAUCUACUGAGAUCUUAAAGACUGUGAGUGAGGUCUAGAGCUUUCUCCCUGUGAUCUGGGCCUAUAUGACAUUACCUACCUAAACGUCAUUAGUGAUGCAUCUGAGAAGCUUGGACCAAACAAAAGCCAGCCUAGGGACUUGGACGACAUUGCAGCCUAUCCAACCCGUGGAUAAAUCCUUGAAGCUUUAACCCUGGCCUCCUCCUCCCCCCAAUUUACAAUGCCCUCUUUUAGGAGAAGGAUGGUGGAAUUACUUUGUAUUAGAAUUAAUGGUAUAAAGAGCUACCUUUUCAACUGAGUAAUGCUAAUUAAUUUCCAUCCCUGGUCAUUCGCUACCUAUUAGAAAUAUCCUGACAGCCUGCACCUCACUGCUGUUGCAGCAGGUUCGGCUCCCAAGAAUAACCUUCUAAGGAGGAUGAAAUGUACGCCAGUGGCAUCUAAUACCAGGGCAUUCACAUUCAUAUUUUUAGCAGCAUAUAUCAGUUAGCCCAACCUUUAGUGUACUGUAUGUACUUUUAAUAAUCUCCAUAAAAGCCUGAUUUCCAAUCCCUAGGCUCAAGCUGACAGUGCAAAUAAAAUCACCCAAAUCCACAGGGUAAGAGAAAUGAAAAUGACAAGGAUUAAAAUUUGGUCAAACCUCUUUCUUUUUAAAAAUUCUGCUUCCCUUCCAAUUGGAUCACGACCCUCUGUGUGCUCAGCUUAAGACCAGACGGUAUGCUUUCACUUUUAUUCCUCUCUGCAGCAGGCUUACAGUAUUUAGUGAGAGUCUGUAAAGAAUGUGUGCUGGGUAGAGAGUUAAUACCAUAAUCCCCUAUCGUUGGGGUCAAAUGGUGAAUAGAGCAAAAGAAUUAGAAAACAUGUUACAUACAAUGGCAGGAAAAAAUGCAUCAGCGCGCUGUUCUGUGGACACUAGCAUUCAUCACCCGCAAGGAACGGCCAUGAGGUAAUAGAGCGUAUAAAGAGAUGUAUACUUGAAGUCUAGGGUGUGCUUCGAGUCUAGAGGCUGGGAUGGAAGACUUGACCGCAAGUCUUAAUACCCAUGUACUCUGGGAGGUAUCUGUCACCAUUUUUAACUGCUUCUUUCCAAGCACCUGCCUGGAUUUAGUUCCUAAAGUAACACAUUUAGCCACUAAAUUGUUUCACAGAGUUGAACCUUGAGCUAUCUCUUUUCACUCUUCAGCGGUGGGUGUGAAUAUUGUUCUCAAAGUGCUGUAAUACAUCUGUCUCUGGAGAAUUCUCUUAACCAAGAAGCAGAAAUUUGAGGCACCACAGGCAAAAAGGGCUGAACAGCCACCUUCCUUUGUAUCUUGAGAAAGUCAACCGAACUCUCCUGGAGUAAGAUUACAGGCAAAUAAAUAACUUUGUGUGGAAGUUCUAUAAAGACGAGUGAAUAUGUGUGUAUAAAUGGUUUGACCGUAAAGUGACAAGUUGAAUUUAUUUUAAACAAUAUCCUUUGAAGUAGUAACUAUUAUAGAUCACCAUUUAAAAAUUUUUAUUUUUAAAUUUACAUAUAGUAAAAUUUACUCUUUGGGGUAUAGAGUUCUGUAGUUUUGACAAGUGCGGAGUUGUGUAAGCAUAACCACAAUCAAGAUACAGAACACUUCCAUCACCCUCAACGAUCCCUUGUGAUGUUUCUUUGUAGUCAAACCUUUUACUCUCAAGACCUGAAAAAUCUUAAAUCCUUAUAUAUAUGAUUUUAUACAUAUGUAGCUUGCACAAAG
ensembl:lncRNA